CUUUGACAUUUUUCUUUAUGCAAUUUACCUAUCCACUCAAUAAUUUAUCCUGGGGAUGUUCAGCAUGAGAGAGAAAGAAUUCAGGAGUUUUCGAAACUGUUUUCAAAUAUAUGAAAGUUGUCAUGUGGAAGAAAAAUAAGCUAUUUUCUAUACACUUUUAAGAGGUAGAUCUAGAAUCAACAUAUAGAAGCUACUGGGAGACAGAUUUCAGCCCAAUCUGAGAAGAAAUUUUUAGCAAUUGGAGCUUUCCAAGCAUGGAAUGAUUUAUUUCUGGAAGUAGUGAGUCCCUCACUAGUGCGAUCAGUCAAGCAUAGGCUGAACAAACCUCUUUGCAGGCAUGAUGGAGGGGAUUCAAGCCUUGCAGGGUAAAGACCCUUAGUGUUUCUUCAAUGCUGAGAUUCUCCGGUUUUGCAGUCUGUUUUUCUUGCUGUCUAAAAAUAUGGGCCUUGUUUUGUGCCAUCCGCCACGUGGGAAGUGUGAAUAGUUAGCUUAACCCAAGAAACCUAAUUUUAAGUCUUUGUUUGAAUAUUACCUGUUUGAACUUGAGAACUGUUGAGACAUGACCUUUAUGGCUAACAACCUCAGAUAUUCUUGUAGGAAUAGCAUCUGUGAAAGAUUUUCAAAGUAAAGUGUCAGACUACUUGAGGGUAAUUGGAAGCAGGGACCUGUGUUCAAAUUCUGGCUCUGCCACUUUCUACGUUUCAAAGCUAUGUACAUCAGUUAACCUAUGAGCUUCAUUACCUGUAUCUCUAAAGUGGGACUAAUGCCAUCCUUAUAAGAUUAUUGCUAAUGGACAGCAAAAAUAACAACUAUGAAAAGGCCUACCUAGAGUAAUGCCUGGAGUAUACUAAGUCUCAGGAAAUAAUUGAAUUUGAGUAGGAAAUCAAAUGAGGUAAAUCCAAGGUAAUGUUAUUUUAAAUAAUCAUCAUGACCUGAGAUGAGAAUCUUUUCAUAAGACAUAACAAUGUGAUGAUCCGUGUUGUCUGUCAACUUGUACUUUCAUUUUUCUCCAUGUCAUUAGCUGAUUGUGUAU
rnacentral:lncRNA from 1 species